rnacentral:rRNA from 1 species
GGGCGUCAAAGCUUACCAAAGAAUAUCAAACUCCGAAUGCCAUGUAGAUGAUGAAUGGGAGUCAGACUGCACGAGAUAAGUUGGGUGGUCAAAAGGGAAAGAGCCCAGACCUACAGCUAAGGUCCCAAAGUGCGUGUUAAGUGGAAAAGGAUGUGGGAUUUCGAAGACAACUAGGAUGUUGGCUCAGAAGCAGCCAUCCAUUCAAAGAGUGCGUAAUAGCUCACUAGUCGAGAGGUCCUGCGCCGAAAAUGUCCGGGGCUGAAACACAACACCGAAGCUGCGGAAUUGCGAAUGCAAUUGGUAGAGGAGCAUUCUUAAUACCGACGAAGCUGUACCGGAAGGAGCAGUGGAGGGAUAAGAAGAGAGAAUGCCGGAAUGAGUAGCGAGAGAGAGGUGGGAAUCCUCUCGGCCGAAUAUCCAAGGUUUCCAGAGUAAAGCUGAUCUGCUCUGGGUAAGUCGGGGCCUAAGGCGAGGUCAAGAGACGUAGCCGAUGGACAACAGGUUUAGAUUCCUGUACCGCAUAUAAACAGAACUGUGGGGACGCAUGGGGAGAGCAUGGGCCGGGAAUGGAAAUACCGGUGCAAGCGAAGGAGGUGUGCAGCCGGCAAAUCCGCUGCAUGAGCCGAAAGCGUGACGCGGAGCGAAAUGAAAGUAGCGAAGCAUGUGAGCCCUGUGCCGAGAAAAGCCGCUAUAGCUUUAUAUGUGCCCGUACCGUAAACCGACACAGGUGGAUGAGGAGAGAAUCCUAAGGCCGGCGGAAGAAGUAUUGUUAAGGAACUCGGCAAAAUGACCCCGUAACUUCGGGAGAAGGGGUGCCCACGGGAGUGGGCCGCAGAGAAUAGGCUCAAGCAACUGUUUAGCAAAAACACAGGUCUAUGCGAAACCGAAAGGUGAAGUAUAUGGGCUGACGCCUGCCCGGUGCUGGAAGGUUAAGAGGAGAGGUUAGCGCAAGCGAAGCUUUGAAUUUAAGCCCCAGUAAACGGCGGCCGUAACUAUAACGGUCCUAAGGUAGCGAAAUUCCUUGUCGGGUAAGUUCCGACCCGCACGAAAGGCGUAAUGAUUUGAGCACUGUCUCGACAAUACAUCCGGUGAAAUUGAAGUACCAGUGAAGAUGCUGGUUACCCGCGCCAGGACGGAAAGACCCCAUGGAGCUUUACUCCAGUUUGGUACUGGGAUUCGGUACUGCACGUACAGGAUAGGUGGGAGACUUUGAAACUUGAACGCCAGUUUGAGUGGAGUCGCUGUUGGGAUACCACCCCUGCAGUAUUGGAUUUCUAACCAGUCACCGUGAUCCGGUGAUGGGACAAUGCCAGGCGGGGAGUUUGACUGGGGCGGUCGCCUCCGAAAGGGUAUCGGAGGCGCUCAAAGGUUCCCUCAGAAUGGUCGGAAACCAUUUGAAGAGUGCAAAGGCAGAAGGGAGCUUGACUGCGACACCGACGGGUGGAGCAGGUAGGAAACUAGGACUUAGUGAUCCGGUGGCAUAAAGUGGGAUUGCCAUCGCUCAACGGAUAAAAGCUACCCUGGGGAUAACAGGCUUAUCACUCCCAAGAGUUCACAUCGACGGAGUGGUUUGGCACCUCGAUGUCGGCUCAUCGCAUCCUGGGGCUGUAGCAGGUCCCAAGGGUUGGGCUGUUCGCCCAUUAAAGCGGUACGCGAGCUGGGUUCAGAACGUCGUGAGACAGUUCGGUCCCUAU